rnacentral:lncRNA from 1 species
CUCCCUGUUCACCUCUCUCCAGGACAAAUGCCAGAUUUUCUUGAAGGAAGAACACAGAAGGACAAAAGAGCAUGGGCUCUCAGUCUCCAGGCUGGGUUCAACUGUGGCCACACUGUGGGACACACAUCUGUAUCUGAGCCUCUAGGAAGAAGGGAAACUGACAACUCCAACAGGGAACACUGGUCUGCUUGGGGCCAUGUGAAUGAGUGGCAUAGAUUGAGUCAGGACCCAGUGUCACAUAGGACAAAUCAUAGAAGGAAACUGGUAGCAUGGCUAAAAGAGAUCAGAAGUGGAAAGGGUGAUGAAACACUCCAUCUCAGAGAUGAUCCAGUGAAGACAUGAGGAGCACCUAGCUCAGUGGUCUGAUCAAGAUUCUCCUAUAACCUGGUCACCAUGAAGAACAUCGAUGGUGAUGGUGAGAUGACCAAA